GGUGGGCGCUAGGUGUAGGGGGCUUCCACGUCUUCUGUGCCGUAGCUAACGCAUUAAGCGCCCCGCCUGGGGAGUACGGCCGCAAGGCUAAAACUCAAAGGAAUUGACGGGGGCCCGCACAAGCGGCGGAGCAUGUGGAUUAAUUCGAUGCAACGCGAAGAACCUUACCUGGGCUUGACAUAUACAGGAUCGGGCUAGAGAUAGUCUUUCCCUUGUGGUCUGUAUACAGGUGGUGCAUGGCUGUCGUCAG
rnacentral:rRNA from 1 species